UCAAAGGUCAGACUUUCUUGAGAAGAACGCCAUUGCCAUGAUCUAAAAGGGGCCAAAUUCACCCCAGCACACUAGCAGCAUUCCGUCCUUCAGCAGUUCCACUUCCACUCUCCUUUGUUUUGGUUUCCAGAUAAUCUAGGUCUGCUACUACCUAGUUCUCCAAAACUCCAUCUACCUCUCUGUCGUAGCUGACUGAUCCCUUAUACCUUUCAUGUUUAAAGAUUAUUUAGAAGGGGAAAGACAAAGCAUGCCUUUGUGAAAUACAGACAAAAAUAAAAACUGUGAAGCAAGCACAGUCAUUAACCGGGGUCUGCACACAUCCAGCGUCAUCGCCAUCAGCAUCGUUCCUCUGUACAUCAUGUCUCACUGAAUGGUCUUCAGGUACAUGGAGCUCUGCUCUCCUCUCCUCGGACAGCAAUGCCCUCUUGUCCUGAGUGACCUAGCUAAGGCUACUUUGCAAGCUCUUGUUCAGAAAGAAAUUAAGUGGCUAGGAGCGAUGGCUCAGAGGUUUGAGCGAGCACACCCUGCUCUCUUGGAGGACCUGGAUUUGCUUCCCAGCACCCACACACCAGCUCCCAAAUCUGUAACUCCUCUUGCAAGGGAUUCAGUGCCCUCUUCUGAGCUCUGGGAGGAUGAUCCACGCACAUGACACAAGCAGGCAAAAUGUUCAAACACAUAAAAACAAAUCUGUAAAGAAUAAAAAUAAAAACACUUGAGAUCAGCUAUA